rnacentral:rRNA from 1 species
CAUAUUGUGAGCUCGAUGAGUAGGGCGGGACACGUGGUAUCCUGUCUGAAUAUGGGGGGACCAUCCUCCAAGGCUAAAUACUCCUGACUGACCGAUAGUGAACCAGUACCGUGAGGGAAAGGCGAAAAGAACCCCGGCGAGGGGAGUGAAAAAGAACCUGAAACCGUGUACGUACAAGCAGUGGGAGCACGCUUAGGCGUGUGACUGCGUACCUUUUGUAUAAUGGGUCAGCGACUUAUAUUCUGUAGCAAGGUUAACCGAAUAGGGGAGCCGAAGGGAAACCGAGUCUUAACUGGGCGUUAAGUUGCAGGGUAUAGACCCGAAACCCGGUGAUCUAGCCAUGGGCAGGUUGAAGGUUGGGUAACACUAACUGGAGGACCGAACCGACUAAUGUUGAAAAAUUAGCGGAUGACUUGUGGCUGGGGGUGAAAGGCCAAUCAAACCGGGAGAUAGCUGGUUCUCCCCGAAAGCUAUUUAGGUAGCGCCUCGUGAAUUCAUCUCCGGGGGUAGAGCACUGUUUCGGCAAGGGGGUCAUCCCGACUUACCAACCCGAUGCAAACUGCGAAUACCGGAGAAUGUUAUCACGGGAGACACACGGCGGGUGCUAACGUCCGUCGUGAAGAGGGAAACAACCCAGACCGCCAGCUAAGGUCCCAAAGUCAUGGUUAAGUGGGAAACGAUGUGGGAAGGCCCAGACAGCCAGGAUGUUGGCUUAGAAGCAGCCAUCAUUUAAAGAAAGCGUAAUAGCUCACUGGUCGAGUCGGCCUGCGCGGAAGAUGUAACGGGGCUAAACCAUGCACCGAAGCUGCGGCAGCGACGCUGAUGCGUUGUUGGGUAGGGGAGCGUUCUGUAAGCCUGUGAAGGUGUGCUGUGAGGUAUGCUGGAGGUAUCAGAAGUGCGAAUGCUGACAUAAGUAACGAUAAAGCGGGUGAAAAGCCCGCUCGCCGGAAGACCAAGGGUUCCUGUCCAACGUUAAUCG